rnacentral:rRNA from 1 species
GACGAACGCUGGCGGCGUGCCUAAUACAUGCAAGUAGAACGCACAGUUUAUACCGUAGCUUGCUACACCAUAGACUGUGAGUUGCGAACGGGUGAGUAACGCGUAGGUAACCUGCCUGGUAGCGGGGGAUAACUAUUGGAAACGAUAGCUAAUACCGCAUAAUAUUAAUUAUUGCAUGAUAAUUAAUUGAAAGGUGCAAUUGCACCACUACCAGAUGGACCUGCGUUGUAUUAGCUAGUAGGUGAGGUAACGGCUCACCUAGGCGACGAUACAUAGCCGACCUGGGAGGGUGGUCGGCCAAACUGGGACUGAGACACGGCCCAGACUCCUACGGGAGGCAGCAGUAGGGAAUCUUCGGCAAUGGACGAAAGUCUGACCGAGCAACGCCGCGGGAGUGAAGAAGGGUUUCGGAUCGUAAAGCUCUGUUGUAAGAGAAGAACGGGUGUGAGAGUGGAAAGUUCACACUGUGACGGUAUCUGACCAGAAAGGGACGGCUAACUACGUG